UUUUAGCUGCAAGAAAAUGAAAGAGUUUUUUUUUUAGAAAGUUAACAAACUAUUCUUCAGAGCUUAAACUAAAGUGUUGGCAAGUUCACAAAAGAUCCGGCUGCUUAGACGAACUUCUGGAUCUACCAGAUGGGCGAGCUCUUGGAGCUUGAUUUCUUGAGCCCAGAUCCAUGCUCCGACACAACUGUUCUCACUGUCUUCUUCGACUUGGUAUCCGGUCCGUGUUUAACUUGUGAAAAAACCAGGAAGGUGCUCACCCUUGAUCUGCAACCUCUUUUUAUCACAGUCACUGGCCAAUCGCCAGCUUGGAGCUCAGAUGGGAUGGGUGGUCAUGUUGAAGACGGCGUCGCCAUCGAUGCGAGUGGCUUUCUUUGAGUUUUUGACUGAACUGAAAACAAACGGAAAAGGGAAACAUGAAUGAAACUUAAGUAAAGAUUGCAGUUCGCGGCGGAGGAGCUGUCAGUUUUUGUCGGUUCAAACUGCAGGCUAGACAAGAAAGAAGAUUAGCUUGAUAGCUUAUAAAAAAUACAUAAAUAAUAGAAAUAAACUUGGUAAGGAUUGCGUAAACGAAAA